AAAUUGAAGAGUUUGAUCAUGGCUCAGAUUGAACGCUGGCGGCAGGCCUAACACAUGCAAGUCGAACGGUAACAGGAAACAGCUUGCUGUUUCGCUGACGAGUGGCGGACGGGUGAGUAAUGUCUGGGAAACUGCCUGAUGGAGGGGGAUAACUACUGGAAACGGUAGCUAAUACCGCAUAACGUCGCAAGACCAAAGAGGGGGACCUUCGGGCCUCUUGNNNNNNNNNNNNCCCAGAUGGGAUUAGCUAGUAGGUGGGGUAACGGCUCACCUAGGCGACGAUCCCUAGCUGGUCUGAGAGGAUGACCAGCCACACUGGAACUGAGACACGGUCCAGACUCCUACGGGAGGCAGCAGUGGGGAAUAUUGCACAAUGGGCGCAAGCCUGAUGCAGCCAUGCCGCGUGUAUGAAGAAGGCCUUCGGGUUGUAAAGUACUUUCAGCGGGGAGGAAGGGAGUAAAGUUAAUACCUUUGCUCAUUGACGUUACCCGCAGAAGAAGCACCGGCUAACUCCGUGCCAGCAGCCGCGGUAAUACGGAGGGUGCAAGCGUUAAUCGGAAUUACUGGGCGUAAAGCGCACGCAGGCGGUUUGUUAAGUCAGAUGUGAAAUCCCCGGGCUCAACCUGGGAACUGCAUCUGAUACUGGCAAGCUUGAGUCUCGUAGAGGGGGGUAGAAUUCCAGGUGUAGCGGUGAAAUGCGUAGAGAUCUGGAGGAAUACCGGUGGCGAAGGCGGCCCCCUGGACGAAGACUGACGCUCAGGUGCGAAAGCGUGGGGAGCAAACAGGAUUAGAUACCCUGGUAGUCCACGCCGUAAACGAUGUCGACUUGGAGGUUGUGCCCUUGAGGCGUGGCUUCCGGAGCUAACGCGUUAAGUCGACCGCCUGGGGAGUACGGCCGCAAGGUUAAAACUCAAAUGAAUUGACGGGGGCCCGCACAAGCGGUGGAGCAUGUGGUUUAAUUCGAUGCAACGCGAAGAACCUUACCUGGUCUUGACAUCCACGGAAGUUUUCAGAGAUGAGAAUGUGCCUUCGGGAACCGUGAGACAGGUGCUGCAUGGCUGUCGUCAGCUCGUGUUGUGAAAUGUUGGGUUAAGUCCCGCAACGAGCGCAACCCUUAUCCUUUGUUGCCAGCGGUCCGGCCGGGAACUCAAAGGAGACUGCCAGUGAUAAACUGGAGGAAGGUGGGGAUGACGUCAAGUCAUCAUGGCCCUUACGACCAGGGCUACACACGUGCUACAAUGGCGCAUACAAAGAGAAGCGACCUCGCGAGAGCAAGCGGACCUCAUAAAGUGCGUCGUAGUCCGGAUUGGAGUCUGCAACUCGACUCCAUGAAGUCGGAAUCGCUAGUAAUCGUGGAUCAGAAUGCCACGGUGAAUACGUUCCCGGGCCUUGUACACACCGCCCGUCACACCAUGGGAGUGGGUUGCAAAAGAAGUAGGUAGCUUAACCUUCGGGAGGGCGCUUACCACUUUGUGAUUCAUGACUGGGGUGAAGUCGUAACAAGGUAACCGUAGGGGAACCUGCGGUUGGAUCACCUCCUUA
rnacentral:rRNA from 1 species